rnacentral:rRNA from 1 species
AGAUCAGUACGCUGGUCGUGCCUUUGGUAUGCACUGGUGUCACUGGUUUCUCCCUUCUGAAGAACUGUCAUGCCAUUCAGUUGGUGUGGCGGGGAAUCAGGACUGUUACUUUGAAAAAAUUAGAGUGUUUAAAGCAGGCUCGCGCUUGAAUACAUUAGCAUGGAAUAAUGAAAUAGGUCGUUCGAUCCUAUUUUGUUGGUUUCUAGGAUUGACGUA